rnacentral:tRNA from 1 species
UCCCAGGUGGCUCAGCGGUAAAGAAUCUGCCUGCCAAUGCAGUCGACCCAGGUUUGAUCCCUGGGUUGGGAA